AUGUCUACAGACAGAGCAAUCAUCUCUACUUGUGCUGACAAAGGUUCUACAGCCACUAGUCUACCUCAAUGCAGGUAUGGCGCAGCUACUGCACACAAUGCCCCCCAACAAAUGUUACAGCCCAUUCUGCAGUCAAGAAGGUCUGAUAGUGGGCUUGGUGUCAGUUUCACCCUACCUUCAACUUUUGCCAGCACGCCACAAUUGUUGAGCGAUCAUGCUACUCCGCCUGUUGAUCUCAGCAUGGGACAAAGUAGUAGCAUGCCAUAUAGUAACCCUGGUUCGCACGCUGGUGCAGAUAACAGCUCUCAGUGGGCCCGACCAAGAAUAAAGCUCACACCAAUAAGCUUACCUAAAUUCUCCGGUGACCGGAGGAGUUAUUGGCGUUGGAAGGCUGAAUGGGAAAGUAUCCAGGCACAAGCAGAACCUACAGGGUCUAGGGAAUGCAAGAAACUUCACUUACUGGAUAGUAUAAGUGAGUCUGUGAAAAGUGAACUCAGGCUAUAUCGGUGCAGAGAUGCAAAUGAUAUCUUCAGGGAAUUGGAGAACCAUUAUGGUGACAAAGCACACACGGCCGAAGAGAUUGUGUUGGAGCUUCAGUCACGACCUGCUGUAAAGAACCAUCAGCCACGAGAAACGUUAGAGUUGAUUCUAGCAGUGGAGAGGGCAGUACUGGACCUCUCAGACCUGGGGUGCGAAGAUGCUGUACGCAAUCAACUUGUGAUUCGGUCUUUGGAGAGUAAACUCCCUGAUGUUAUGAAAAGAGAGUGGCUCAUGUGUGUGAGAAAUCCUGUAAAUGACGUCCAUCCUGGAAACCGUUUUGACAGGCUCUUGAUGUUCCUGGAAGACCAAAAGUCAUUGCUCGUGAGGUUGGAGCAGUUGCUGCCCAGCAAACCAUGGCCUGCUAAUGCUCCUGAGAGACCAAGCCACCGGGAGAAACCAGGUGACAGAUGGAGAGAGAAGUCUUUCACUAAGACUACAGCAAGUGAAGUCAAAAGAGAAUCCAAACAGUUACCAUGUGCCAUGUGUGGUGAUGGAGAUCACGGAGGUAAACUGUUUCGUUGUAAAACUUUCAGAAAAGCCAAUCUGUCAGAAAAGAAAGCUCAAGUGAAAAAGGUAAAAGCAUGUACAAAGUGUUUGGAUGUUCACGGGGUCGAGAGUGACUGUACUCCAAAGUUUCUCUGUCGUAAAGAUGAGUGUAAGAAAGGCGACACUCCAGCAGACCACCACUAUUUCCUUUGCCCUAAGGCGUCAACAAAGAAGGACACUGUUAAAAGGGAAAAUAAAGAAGAGGAAAAGAGGGGAGCUCGAGGUCCAACAGAGGAGCAAGAGGCUGUGUUCGUUGGAAAUUUUGAGAAAGUUGGAAUUUUUCCAAUUGGAAGCUGUCCGCAGAGCCUGUAUUAA
rnacentral:lncRNA from 1 species